GUUUGCAUGUACAUAUUUGACUUGUGCAUUCUGCCGACCUUUGCAUACGAGUUUUAUGGCAUGGUUUUGAGAUCUGCUUUACUUUGUGCUUUAUCUCGAUUAAGAAGAUGUUCUCUGCUAAUUGCAUAACUUAGCUUUGUGGAAAUUUGAACACAUUCUUAUGAAUGUGUUAUGCUUUGUUGAGAAUGUUUCGUUUUGAGCCUUGCAUAGUUGAUGCAUCAGUCUCUUAUGCUAAUCGAAAUUUUU
rnacentral:misc_RNA from 1 species